GAACUUGACUCCCCCACUGCUCUGGCGGAACACGAAGCCCGCUGCGUCCUAUCUCGAAGCCAUGAACGGCGGCUUGUGCCUGUGUGUGCUGAUGGCGGUCCUGGCGGCAGGCACCCUGGCGCAGCCGGUGCCUCCCGCGGACUCCGCGGUCCCCGGGGCACAGGAGGAGGAGGCGCACCGGCGGCAGCUGAGGGCGGUGCAAAAGGUAGACGGCGAGUCCCGAGCGCACCUGGGUGCGCUGCUGGCCAGAUACAUCCAGCAGGCUCGAAAAGCCCCCUUUCCUUCCUCUCUGCCCCAUGUAGCACCUUCUGGCCGAGUAUCUAUGAUUAAGAAUCUGCAGAGCCUGGACCCCAGCCACAGAAUAAGUGACCGGGACUACAUGGGCUGGAUGGAUUUUGGCCGGCGCAGUGCAGAGGAGUAUGAAUAUACCUCCUAGAAGACCCCGCCUUGGUCAGCGCCACUGGAAGCCACCUCCUGACUCAGAGGAGGCAGAAGAAAACAAUCACACUCACAACUCUGGUCUCUGACGUCUGACAUUUAAAGUAUCUAUUUAUUAAGUUUUCAAUGUGAAAAAUCUGUCUGUAACAUUGUCCAAUGCAACCACGCACCUCAACAAAAAUGUACAAAUGGAAGAUAAAAUGUUUCCCUCAUCUGUGACCCCUGGUGUGAAAGUGUCCCUAUGCUAUUAAAGUGAUUUUGUUCUGCCCCUUGUUCCCCUUGUCUGCCAAGGGCAAAGGAUCCAUGUAGUCCUCGGAACAUUCAAAGAAGGGUUCCUGAUGUACCGGGCCCAGGGAUGAAUCCCUGUGGUACAUGGUCCCAGAAAGGGCCUGAGAAAUGAGGGUCGGGCAUAGAGCUGGCUCCCUGCUGCAGGCCAGGUUGCCAGUGUCAGCUGCACAGUCCCCCUGGCCCCCCUGGGCCCCAGUGGGGCUCCAUUGCAAAAAAGAACCAGGCUAGCUUGUAAUGGGCACUCGUUUGUCUGGGUGAAGCCAAGAGAGGCAGUUGGGAAUGGAGUCUUCUAUCUGCCCAUCCCCAUGAGUUGUCCUCAUCUGCUAACUCCAUCCCAUACCAGGGUUUCUCUAGGAUUCUUUUGGCCUUUGAACAAAUUAUGGGGCGGCACUGGUCUUGAGGGCGUGUUGCUCCUAGGUUAGUGUGACCUCUGUUGGCAUGUCUCAGAUUCUGGAGUAGGUAUGAAUCACCUGGGAAUCUUGUUAAACCACAUGUUCUAACUCAGUGGCUCUGGGCUGUGGCCUGAGCAAGCCCCUGGGUGAUGUCUGGCCCUGGACCACACUUGAAGACAGGGCAGUGUAGAGAAGAGUCUGUGAUUACAACCGCUUGCAUCUCAUCGUAUUCCAGAGACGUAUUACAGGGUGCGGGGGCCAGGUGGCGGGAGAAGGGGGGCCCUCUGGUAGUGAGCCAGGGCAGAAGCUCUCCUUUCAUUGUCCGACCCUCUGCUGGGUCUCCACAGGGAUCAGCAAAGAGGGCAAGUUCAAGGAUGAUCUAACACUAGUUACCACAGAGCAGCCUUUCUGUGCCUUGUGGCUGAGGCCUCUGGGAAUCCUGGGUUCUUACAUAGCAAAGGCCCCAGGUGGCUCAAUGCAACAGGACCUGCAGCCCCAAAGGGGACAGACAUGGGAGAGAAUGGUAGUCAGUUCAGUUUUCAAGAAGUCAUACUGCUUUUUGGUUCCACAUCAGUUGUGGAUCACCCAGGGACCAGUCUGGGAAGUGGAUGAUGGUCUGUGUAUUGCUUCAGUUCUCAAUGUCUUUGAUAUGCUAAUUAGGACCAGAUUCAUGCAUGCAGGGCUGGGGGUGAGCCUCGGAGUUCGGAGUUCGUGAUCAACUAUAAGGGGUAGCUUUCCCAAGCUCCUCCCUCUCUGCAACCUCCCUAGUACUUUCCAGCUCCCUGGUGCUUCCCUUUUGGAUCUUCCACCCCAAAUCUUGGGGUUCUGAUUACCCUGUUCUGCCACACAAUCCUAUGUUUGGGCCCAAGUGCAGGUCCAAGUAGCAGAAGAACAGAGAAUAAAAAAAGCAAUGGGGGUUGACCCCAGCAUCUUAGGAUCACAGGUCCUCUGAUCCAAGAGCAAGAUUCCCCUUCCUCAGAGUUUCGGCUCUGGCCAGUCUCAUGACUGACUCACCACUGUGGCUAUGUGUUUGCCUGGGGACUAUGGCACAGAAGAAAAAGAAGAAAGAAAAAAACUAGGGAAGGUUCAUGGUCUCUGGCCAUUAGGAAUUCCUUUUUUUCACUCCUUCAGCUAGAACUUAAGCGCAGCUCCUGGAGCUCUCUGUGCCCCAGACCCCACUGCUAGUCUUCAGCCGUGUCUAGGUUCAAGGAAGGCCCCCCUGCCCCAUGGCCUUUAGGAUUCCCUCUUGUUUCCUCUCUGCUUGCCAGGGCCUGGUAGUUUCUGCUGGAACUCUAGAAUCUUCAUAAACUAUUUCAAGACAUGGCUAAAAUUUAAAAACCCAGUCAUUCAUGAUAUCAGGCUAUUCUCUAGGAGUGGGUGGCUUAUUUUAUUAUCUUAAACUUGAAUCCUUUUAUAUGAUUCCCACCAGGCUUCUGGUUUGAAAAAAUCUCAAAAGAGUGGAAGAGUGACCAAGGAGUGGGAUGUUUCAUUGAAUCGAGCUGCAAGACUAGCAGGUUUUCUACCUUCCCUUCCCCCUGGCUCACAUGCACAUAGAAGCAGGUAGAACUGGCAAGAGUUCAAGCCUUACCUACCCUAACACCUCUGGAGUCACAGCCAGAGCGACUCCAAUGUGUUGGAUCAUUUUUAAAGUUCCAUUCUGGAAAGCAUUCACCUGCUCUCUUGUAUCAACUUGUGGGGAGCCCUCCCCUGGUUCAAUGACAUACAGGGAAAUGCACCUGAGUGUCAGGCACUGUGCUGAUGCGGUGAGUAUAGCCACAAAGAGCCCAAGUGGGAGAUUCACAAAAUCGUGGUUUGAUGUUCCAAGAAUGAUGGCAGGUAACAGGCAGAGGCAGAGAGAGAGAACAGAGCAGCUGCCUGAAUUAAGGGGCAAGGCAGCCAAGCAGCUGCCCUGGGGUGCCAGUCUCCAAGGGACACCUAAGCACCACUGCAGCUAAUUGGAAUCCUGGUGUCAGUGAAUUUCUUCAUACUUAGUAACUUACCUAACUGAAGAAAUGAGCAUUAAUUCCUCCCCUGUAGAAGACGACAAUGACCUCAAGUAAAGAGUUUUUGCUGUUGUUUUUUAAACCACACCCCUAUGGGAGCCAGCUUCUCUGCACAGAGAAAUAGCUGUGCACACAUGUUCACACGUUGAAGCUGCAGGAUUCAGACCCACUUCUCCUUGCCAACCUGCUGGUUGUCCUACCCAGUCUGCUGAAAUUUUAAAACCAGAUAAUUCAGGAUCUGAGACUGUUUAUUUUGAGUGGAUAAUUUAUUUUAUUUUAAUGUUAGAACUUUAAUAUGGUUGCCAAAAGGCUCCCGGGCUUGGAAAAUCAUCCAAUGAAACUGAAAAGAGAACAAAACUCACUGACAAGUGAGAUGCUCUUUGUAGAAUUAAAACCAAGAGGGAAAAAAAAGAACACUUACGUGUAUUUUGAAGACAACUUGGUAACUAUGGUUACCUCUAAUUAGUGAACACCUUAUGCUGUCUAGAUUUGAGUGGAGGAAAACUGAAAUGAAAAACAAUUCCAAAUUAGUAAAAAUGUUAGGUUCCACUGAGUGCGUGUAAUGUACUUUUGAAAUGUAAUUUAACAUCUAUUGAAUCUAGUAAUUAAAAAGUUGGUCUUGG
rnacentral:lncRNA from 1 species